AUUGAACGCUGGCGGUAUGCUUAACACAUGCAAGUCGAACGGUAACAGGCCUUCGGGCGCUGACGAGUGGCGGACGGGUGAGUAACGCGUAGGAAUCUGCCCUAUAGUGGGGGACAACGUGGGGAAACCCACGCUAAUACCGCAUACGCCCUACGGGGGAAAGCGGGGGAUCGUAAGACCUCGCGCUAUGAGAUGAGCCUGCGUUAGAUUAGCUAGUUGGUAGGGUAAAGGCCUACCAAGGCGACGAUCUAUAGCUGGUCUGAGAGGACGAUCAGCCACACUGGGACUGAGACACGGCCCAGACUCCUACGGGAGGCAGCAGUGGGGAAUAUUGGACAAUGGGCGCAAGCCUGAUCCAGCAAUACCGCGUGUGUGAAGAAGGCCUUAGGGUUGUAAAGCACUUUCAAUGGGGAGGAAAACCUGCCGGUCAAUACCCGGUAGCUUGACAUUACCCAUAGAAGAAGCACCGGCUAACUCCGUGCCAGCAGCCGCCGUAAGAC
rnacentral:rRNA from 1 species